rnacentral:lncRNA from 1 species
GGAAAUAUUUAAUUAAAUUAAGCAAAACUAGAAGAAAAUGGUAUAUAAGUGCCACUUGGCAUAUACAACUCAGAAGUAAAAAUGCGGAAAUCUAAAAUCUCAUCCCAAAACCCAAAAACUCACGGGGACCACUGGCUAAUAGAAAUGUAAUAUACUGAUCUAACUCUAGAAUGUCUAAACAACUGAAAGAAAAGGAUAGAAUAACUACUAAAGCUGGAACAGAAUAGAGAUUCCCGUUUUGUGGACGUUGCAGAUAUACCUCGAAGUCUCCGCUAUAGUAUGCAUGAGUGGAGGUACCUUGAUCUGUACAUGAAAAACAUGCGCAGAAGGGGAAUGAGUAUACCACAACGGUACUCAGUAAGUGCCAAGCCUAACCUCGGUCGGGUAGUGACGAGGAAGGUCAGGGUCCUACUGCGAGUAAACAAUAUAAUAAGAAUACAGUAUGAAAUUAGAUGAAAAUAAUGUGAACCAACAGUGAAAUAAGACAAAGUUUACAAGGCAAUAACAAAUAAGCGGUGAACAGAGUAAAUACAAGGACGUACAGCUCAAUACCAAAAUGCCAAAUGAGGAUCUCCCAGGAUACCGUCAUGUAGUCAACCCAAAACCAGUGCAAGUCAACCCAAAACCACGCUCUUUCCACGAGUAUCUGACUCCAAAUGGCCCAAAUAUAUUCAAUUCCAAUUACAUAGCGUAAAUAACAUCUCAAACAACCGGUUAUACUAUUUAAUUUUAAUCUAAGACGCGAAUUUAAGUAAAAUAACCAAAAUGACCCUCAAGAAAACAUCUCGAAAUCGAAUAAUAUUAACAUUUUCAGAACUCACGUACUCUCACGAGUCUAAUCAUAUAAAAAUCUCCCGUAUCGGAGGUCAAACGCCCACUCAAAACUUAAUAGUUUGGUCUAUGAAGUUUUACCCAUUUUUCAUUCAAAAAUUCGAAAUUAAGGAUGAAUUCCUGAUUAGAUUAGUAGGUUUUAAGCAUAAGAGAGUAGAGAAUAGUUACCAAUCCUUGCCUCUGAAAAACCCUCGAAAUCUCCCUCAAAUCUGAGUUCUCUAGCAUGAGUUUUGUUAAAAAUGGCUAACCCUUGAUUUUGAAAUGUUUAUAACUGCCCAGGCCCAUUAUGCAUCGCGAACGCGUAAAUAGGCUCACGUUCGCAAAGAAGAAAAAUGAAACUUCCAAAAAAAAAUCCCUUCGCAAUCGCGAGAAUAAGGAUACAAACGUGAAGGCCUAGGCUCAAGAAACUAUGCAAACGUGAUGGCUUGGCUGCGAAACGAAGGAGAGAAAUGCCAAGCUUCGUGAAUGCGGGUGGACAGGUCGUGAACGCGAAGAGAUACUGGUCCUCCCCCCAAGGUUACACUACGUGAACACGUGGAGGAGGAUGUGAACGUGAAGAAGAAGAAGGUCAGAUCUAUGCGAACGCGAGAGUAGCGCCACGAACGCGAAGAAUGAUUUUUGGCCUGCAACAACUGAAGGAUUUUUCCUCCAUUUUUCACAACUCCAAAAUGCUCCUUCGAGCAUCCAAAACACACUCGAGGCCCCCAAGACCUCAAUCAAACCUACAGACAUGUCCCAUAACAUCAUUCAAACUUGUACCAACCCUUAAACCACCUAAAACAACGCCGGAAACUCGAAUUAAUCAAGGAUGAGCCUAAGAACUUCAAAUUCCAUCAAAAUACACUUUCGAUAAAAAACCUAACCAAAACACGUCUGAAAGACCCAAAAUUUUGCACACAUAUCCCAAAUGACAUGAAAAAGCUAUUGCAACUUCCAAUAUUCCGUUCCGACCCUCAGAUCACAAACUCACUAUCGGACCGAAAAUUUCAAAAAUUUAAACUUUGGCAUUUCAAGCCGAAAUGAGCUACGGACUUCCAAAAUAUAUUCGAAACAUGCUCCCAAUCCUGAAAUCACCUAACGGAGCUAACAAAACCAUUAUAUUUCCAUUCCGAUGUCGUCUUCACAUUGCUCCGACUACAAGCCACUUUCCAACGCUUAAGCUCUCAUUUAAGGACUAAGUGUCCCAAAAAUCUCCGAAACUCAACGCCAAAUGUCCCGAAAAACCAAAAUAGCAUAAAUAAACUUAAGGAAAGAAAUUAAUAGGGGGAUCAGAACGUAAAUUAUUAAGAUGACCAGCCGAGUCGUCACAAUGGGGGUCCUAGGUUUAUUUGUAAUAUGGAUCAGAUCAAUACAAUACCCGCUAAUCGCUCCAUAAAAGAGGGAAUACACGUGGUAUUAGCGCACCAGUCAUCAUAUCCCUACUAUCCUUCCUACCCCGUUAAGGUAUUAAAGCCAGAUUGGUCUCGACCUCUCUUGUAUGCUAUUGCCCUCCCAUUCCUAUCAGUCCCCGAGGAUUUAGAAAUGAUAUUCCUAUGAGAGGGAGGAUUUUAGGCUGACUCUUUGGGUUUUAAAGUAAAACACUAUGGCGACAUUCAAAACACAUAGGACUGCAUAUUAUAGGAGACAUGUAAAACAAAUAAGAGGCUUAGAAAUACCUCCUCAAGUAAAGAACAUAAAUAGCAUGACUUAAAACGCAUUUAAGGUCAGAUUUUAAAGUACUAAGGCGGGGAAAUUUCAGUUGUUGAAGCAUACCAAUUUAUUACAUAACUCAGAUAAGAAGUAUGAAUCAGGCAUGCCUACUGGUUGUAGCAGUUGCUAAUUGAACAAAGACAAAUUUAAUUUUAUUUUUAUUAUCUAAGGCUUGCCUAAGUGUGUGAUGAUAAUACCCUAUAUGACAAUGCCAAUUGUUGAUUAUGAAUGUAACAAUGCAGUGAUAAUUUUUAAAUGAGCAAUUUGGGAUCCUAUAGGCAUGCUUGCUAAACCGCAUUAAUAAAAUGAGAGUAGGUUGUUUAAAACUGGUUCAGAAUAGUGUCGAACUGAUUUUAAACUAGACUGGAUCAGAUCUUAUAGGCGUGAUCUCUACUAUUAUUGAUUUUUUAAUUCCUAUUGACAUGAUAUCUAGUCGAACAUGAAACGAAGCAGGCAGGAUUCACUUGAGAUUCCUAUAGGCACGACUUCUAUGAAAAUAUUGAUUUUAACCUUAUGAACAUAAUGUCUGAUUUGUGGCCGUUUAGAUCCUAUAGCAUGGUGUCUAAGUGGUAAUAAAAUAUACAUGAUUUAAAACAAGUUCUAUAGGCAUGUUUUCUAAAUGUAGAGUUAAACAUGCAGAAUUUUAAAAAAAGUCAUAUAGGCAUGUUAUCUAAAUGGAGAGUUAAUCAUGCAUAAUUCAAAACAAGUCCUAUAGGCAUGUUAUCUAAAUAGAGAGUUAAUCAUGCGAGGCCAAGCACAUUGACAAAAGAAACAACAUACAAUGGUGGCAGAAAUAAGCAUAGGAUUCAGUAGUGAAUAAAGUUAGACAGUUAUGGCUCACACAUAUAGCCAAAGUAAAGAAGAGAGUUAAAACAAGUAAAGUUCUCACAGUAACAGGUAAGGAAACCUUUUUGAGAAAUCAGGAUUUCAAUCAUAGUCGAGUUAAAAGAUGGUAAAAAUUAGAUAAUUCACAUAAAGAAAAGAGAGUUUGAAACAAGAACCUUCAAUCGAGUCAAGUGUACAUUAAAAUAAAUAGUUUCAAACCCAGACACCUAGGGCUUUUAACAAUAGCCGAGUAUAAAAGAUGGUAAAACAAAUAAGUUAGACAACGACUUAAUCAAAUAAGUACACAUCUAACCAACAACUUUAGAACUCGAAUGAGACCCAAAAGAAAUUAGGGUUUUCAACAUGCUAAAUCAGAUAGAAGAACAAUAUGAGCAAAACAUCGCAGAAUAAUAGUACCGUUAAAAUCAGAGAAGAGAUUUUGAAAAGAAAAACUUGAAGGAAAAUCCUAAUCGGAGAAGAUGAAGGGUCAUUUCGAAAGAAGGUUGAAAACUUUCGAGAAAACACUUAAACACUCAUAGCAAGUACAGAUCUAAAGUAGAUUUGAAAGAAAGUUGGAAUAUCUUAAAGGUUAGGGUUUUGAAAAACCAAGAAAAGGUGAGAAAGGCCUUGAAAGUUACCGAUCUAACCAGGAAAGUCAAGGAUCUGACUCUAACGGCCAUGGCUGGCUGAAGAAAGGUCAGGGAUGAUAGGAGAAGGGACAUGCACUGAAAUCGAGCAAGGGCUGGACCAGAUUCCCUCAAGGUCUAGACAUGAAGUCAUAGUAACCAACACCCCAGAUCCAUGAAAGGCUGAUACAUGUCUGAAAUGGCCACGAGGGACCAUGGAUUAGGAAGGUAUCAGGGUGGGGGUAAGAGGGCGAUAACAAGGGUUCAUGAGAGUUUCAGAGAGAGUUGAGAGAUAAAAGAGAUUCUAAGGCUG